rnacentral:rRNA from 1 species
UAAGGAAUAUUGGUCAAUGGACGCAAGUCUGAACCAGCCAUGCCGCGUGGAGGAUGAAGGUCCUCUGGAUUGUAAACUUCUUUUAUCUGGGACGAAACACUUCUUUUCUAAGAGGCCUGACGGUACCAGAUGAAUAAGCACCGGCUAACUCCGUGCCAGCAGCCGCGGUAAUACGGAGGGUGCAAGCGUUAUCCGGAUUCACUGGGUUUAAAGGGUGCGUAGGUGGGUAUGUAAGUCAGUGGUGAAAUCCCCGAGCUUAACUUGGGAACUGCCAUUGAUACUAUAUAUCGUGAAUACCGUAGAGGUAAGCGGAAUAUGUCAUGUAGCGGUGAAAUGCUUAGAUAUGACAUGGAACACCAAUUGCGAAGGCAGCUUACUAUGCGUUUAUUGACACUGAGGCACGAAAGCGU